rnacentral:lncRNA from 1 species
AGGAGAACACCGACGCCCUAUCUGGGUCGUGCGAUGAUUACGUGUUGAUUAGAUGCAGAAUAGCCCCGCAUGUAGCAGUUACAUAUAGGCGUUACAACUUGAGGGCUAAGCCAAGAGAUCUUUUCUAAAUAUAAACCUUCUAUACGUAGAUGAUCUAUUCCUGUACAUAGACAAUCUAUAUCUCUUGGCUUUAGCACAAUAUGGUAAGGUAAAUACGCAUGCAUCUAACCUUUCUAUCUAACAGCCUCCCUCAAUCUUAACCGCUCUAGGUUCAGAUUGACUUUGAAAUUUUCUAACAGCCGAACAGACAAGGCCUUUGUAAAGCCAUCUGCAAUUUGAUCUCCUGAUGAAACAAAUUCAAUCUCUAGUAAUUUUCGAGCAACUCUUUCUCUGACAAAAUGAUAGUCAACUUCAAUAUGUUUUGUUCUGGCAUGGAAAACAGGAUUAGCAGACAAGUACUUUGCACCAAUAUUAUCACACCAAAGUCUUGCUGCCUUUGGACUAGGAAUACCCAAUUCACGCAGUAAAGUUUGUAUCCACAUAACUUCUGCAGUAGCAUUAGCAAUUGCUUUAUAUUCUGAUUCUGUACUAGAUCUUGAAACAGUAGCCUGUUUUCUUGCACUCCAUGAUACAAGAUUAGAACCCAAGAACACAGCAAACCCUCCUGUAGACCUUCUGUCAUCAACACUGCCAGCCCAGUCUGCAUCUGAAAAUGCACUCACCAAAGUCGAAGGAGACUUCUGUAUUUUCAAGCCCAAUUCUGUACAUUGCUUCAAGUACCGUAAUAUUCUUUUAACUGCUGCCCAAUGUACUGUGGUAGGUGCAUGAAGAAAUUGACAGACUUUAUUAACAGAAAAGGCUAUAUCAGGUCUAGUGAGGGUUAGAUAUUGAAGAGCACCAACAAUGCUUCUAUACCGUGAUGUAUCAUCCGGUCCCAACAAUGAUCCUUCAUGUAAUGAUAAUUUUUCACUAGUGGAUAAUGGAGUAUUAACAGGCUUGCAAUCUGACAUACCAACUCUUUUUAGAAGAUCAGAAGCAUAUUUUCUUUGAGUGAGAACAAUGCCAUCUCGCACCUUGGCAACUUCUAUACCGAGAAAAUAAUGCAGAUCUCCCAGAUCCGUUAGAGCAAAUUCCCCCUGCAAAUCUUGAAGUAACACUGUGGUAGCAUGUGGUGUAGAGCUGGCUAUAAUAAUAUCAUCAACAUAAACAAGGAGAUACAUGCUAACAUCAUUCUUGCGAUAAAAGAACAAAGAGGUAUCAGCCUUUGAAGAUUGAAAACCGAGUGAUAUCAAUUUAGCACUUAGUCUAGAGUACCAUGCUCUGGGCGCCUGUUUCAGACCAUAUAAGGCUUUAUCUAGGCGACAAACAAAGUUUGGUCUUGAAGGAUCUUCAAAACCAGGUGGCUGUUGCAUAUAUACCUCUUCUUCAAGAUUGCCAUGGAGAAAAGCAUUUUGUACGUCAAGUUGUCUGAGAGUCCAUCCUCGAGAAACAGCAAGAGAUAGAAUAAUACGAAUAGUAGCAGCUUUAACAACAGGACUGAAAGUUUCCUCAUAAUCUAUUCCAUAUCUCUGCUUAAAACCCUUUGCUACCAAUCGAGCUUUAUAUCUAUCCAAGCUACCAUCAGAUUUUCUCUUUAUUCUGUAUACCCAUUUGCAACCAAUAAUAUUUCUACCCUUUUGAGGUGGAACAAGGUGCCAAGUUUUAUUCUUCAUUAAGGCAUUGUACUCAAGAUCCAUUGCAUUUUUCCAAUUACUAUCAGCUAGAGCCUCGUCAGUACUACUAGGUUCCCCUGUAGUUGUCAAAAAUCCAUACCUGACAGUACCAUCUGUGUAUAUUUUCUCCUUGCGUAUGCCACUUUGAAGUCUGGUUACAGGUCGGGUUGCAGCUGGAGGUGCCUCUGUUGCCGCAGCAGCAGUCUGGCCUGCCUGGCCCGGCGAAUCUCCCGCGCGCGGGGAAGAAGACGUGGCCGCGCCUGGCUGGUGCGGCGCGGUGUCCGAAGACGUGGCCGCGCCUGGCUGGUGCGGCGCGGUGUCUGGAUCAGGCGCCGUCGCGAGAGGAGAAACCGGAGAUAGCGUGGCGUCCGGCGGUUGGCCAAUGGACGCACCCGAACCAGACUCCGAUCCCGAGCCCGCAUGCGAAUUGCCUCCGGAGUUUGCAUCACCGGUUCCUUCCGAAUUGUCACCAGCGUCUCCCUGAUUCUCAUCAUGCAACUCAGAGGAAACAUUAGAAGAAUUAGAUGAACCAUUAGCACACUGAUCUACUGCAUGUUCGCCCCCUACAUACGGAUAAACAAGAUCAGAAGGAAGACAUAAGAUCUCGGAGCGAAGACGGGCACCGGCAUUGGGAUGCAGCUCAGUGAAGGGAAAAAUAUUUUCAUCAAAUAUCACAUCCCUGGAGAUGUAAACACGGCCAGUGGAGACAUCAAGGCACUUGUAGCCUUUGUGCAAGGUGCUAUAACCAAGAAAGACACAUCUUUUGGAUCGAAAUUCUAGUUUGUGCUUAUUAUAGGGAUGAAGAUGAGGCCAACAAGCACAUCCAAAAACUCUCAUCGAGGAGUAAUCUGGUUUUUGAUUAAAGAGACGCUCUAGAGGCGUAGCAUGACCAAUCGUUUUGCUGGGUACACGAUUGAUGAGAUAAACUGCUGUUUGGAAGGCUUCAUCCCAAAAUUUUAGGGGCAUAGCCGCAUGAGAUAAAAGAGAGAGACCGACUUCAACUAUGUGACGGUGUUUUCUCUCAGCUGACCCAUUUUGCUGAUGAGUGUGUGGGCAUGAAACAAGAUGAACGAUGCCAGCUUUAUUAAAAAAGGAAUUAAGUGUCUGAUAUUCGCCUCCCCAGUCAGUUUGCAUGGCAAGAAUCUUACGAUCAAACAAGCGUUCAACAAGAGUUUGAAACUCUUGAAAUUUUUGAAAUACUUCAGACUUGUGCUUAAGAAAGUAAAUCCAGGUGAACUUGCUAAAAUCAUCAAUGAAACUAACAUAAUAUCGUUUUCGACCAACUGAUUCUGGUGCAUGACCCCAGACAUCAGAGAACACAAGUUCUAAAGGAGACUUGGAAAUACUAGAAGACUUGGGAUAGGGCAACUGAUGGCUCUUCCCUUGCUGACAAGCAUCACAAACUGACUGACUCAACGACUCAUCGAUAUAUGGGAGACUAUUAUUACUGACAACUUGCUUAACAAUUAACGAAGAUGGAUGACCCAGCCUACUGUGCCAUCGAGACAGGGGCAAUCUGUUGGAGUUGUAGGCUUGCUUUAUUGUUGGUGCAGGUAAAGGAUAGAGACCCCUGUGACACCUUCCUCUAAGGAGUAUAUUCUUCGUUUCCUGAUCCUUAAUCAGAAAGAAAUCAGGGUGAAAUUCUAUAAAGAUAGAGUUGUCAGCGGUAAGACGAUGAACUGAAACAAGAUUUUUCUUGGCUUGUGGAACAUAAAGAACAUCAUUUAAUUGUAUGUUACGAGUGGGGGUACGAACUGUAGUACGACCAAUGUGACUAAUGUUCAUACCUGUUCCACUAGCUGUGUGGAUCUGAUCACCACCAUGAUACUUUUUCUUGAGAGACAGCUGCUCGAGAUUGCUUGUCAUAUGAUCCGUAGCACCGGUAUCAGUGUACCAGUUGGUGUCCACGCCAUACGAGUUUGUAGCUGCUGCAACAAGACGCUGAUCUGGCACAAAGUUCUCAUCGAACCUGUGCCAGCAUUCAGCGGCUGAGUGAUUCAUCUUGAAGCACACCUGGCACCUGUUGUCAUCUGAAUCAGGCGCACCACCAGAUGUCCCGCGACUAUUGUUGUUGUAGAAGCCGCGGGAGUUGUUGUUGUUGUGGGAGCCACGACCUCCUGCAGGAGGCUCGCGACUGGACCUGCCGCGGCUAGACUGCGCGCCCCCACGCGAGGGGCCUCUCCCACGCGCGUGAUUCUUCCCGCGCCACGAGCCACGACCACGAGAUGCCGAGUUUGCCGAUCCAGACCCAGGGCUGCCUCCAUAGAUCAAGUCCAUUCUAGUUUCAAAAUUGAGAAGUUGUGAAUAAAGCUCACCAACGGAGAUGGGUUCCACUCUAGCGCAUAGAGCAGAGACGAUGGGCGAGAAAUCUUCGCCCAAGCCGGUGAUGAUGUACUCCACCAGUUCUUCAUCUUCUAGGGGCCGUCCUGCAGCCGCCAUGUCGUCGCCAAGAGCCUUCAUCUUGGCAAAGUACUCGGCAACGGACGAAUUUUCCUUCUUGGUCGUUGCCAGAGCAAUCCGCAUGUUAACGGAUCGCGCUCGCGUCUGUGACGCGAACAUGUCUUCAAUGAUCUUCCAGGCGUCCGCCGCGGUGGCGCUGGUGGCCACUUGUGUGAGGACAUCCUUGGUGACCGAUGCGAGGAGGUAGCUAAGGACCUGUUGAUCCGUGGCCUCCCAGUCUUCGCGCGCUGGAUUGGGAACCCUCACUUCCUUCCCAUCAGCGCCCUUCUGCACAAGCUCCGCCGCAGGUAUAGGGGUGGCACCCGUGAGGUACCCCUGAAGACGAGCACCACGGAUCGCAGCACGCACCUGUGCCUUCCACAGGGCGUGAUUGUUCUUGCUAAGCUUUUCCGUGACAGGCUGGGCGAGGAGAGGAUUGGAGGAAGCAGAUGAUGACGCCAUUGUAGUUGCGAAGAGGAGAUGCAAUCUACUCAAAAGCAAUGGCUCUGAUUACCAUGUGAAAGUUCAGAGGAGCGGAGGAGAACACCGACGCCCUAUCUGGGUCGUGCGAUGAUUACGUGUUGAUUAGAUGCAGAAUAGCCCCGCAUGUAGCAGUUACAUAUAGGCGUUACAACUUGAGGGCUAAGCCAAGAGAUCUUUUCUAAAUAUAAACCUUCUAUACGUAGAUGAUCUAUUCCUGUACAUAGACAAUCUAUAUCUCUUGGCUUUAGCACAAUAUGGUAAGGUAAAUACGCAUGCAUCUAACCUUUCUAUCUAACAGA